CCGAGUGUAAAAACUCCCCAACCCUAUGUGAACCUUACCACUGUUGCUUCGGCGGACCCGCCCCGGGCGCGCGUGCCCCGGACGCAGGCGGCCGCCGGGGGACCCAAACGCUUGCCUUUGUACAGUAUCUCUGAGUCUGAUUUGUCAAAAUCAAAUUA
rnacentral:misc_RNA from 1 species